rnacentral:rRNA from 1 species
GCUUCGGCCCGAGUUGUAAUUUGCAGAGGAUGUUUCUGGCGCGGUGCCUUCCGAGUUCCCUGGAACGGGACGCCACAGAGGGUGAGAGCCCCGUAUGGUUGGACACCAAGCCUGUGUGAAACUCCUUCGACGAGUCGAGUAGUUUGGGAAUGCUGCUCUAAAUGGGAGGUAAAUCUCUUCUAAAGCUAAAUACCGGCCAGAGACCGAUAGCGCACAAGUAGAGUGAUCGAAAGAUGAAAAGCACCUUGAAAAGGGGGUUAAAUAGUACGUGAAAUUGUUGAAAGGGAAGCACUUAUGACCAGACUUGGGCCGGGCGGCUCAUCAGGGGUUCUCCCCUGUGCACUCCGCCCGGCACAGGCCAGCAUCGGUUCUCGUGGGGGGAUAAGACCGUCAGGAA